AGCGAACGCUGGCGGCAGGCUUACCAUGCAGUCGAGCGGGCAUAGCAAUAUGUCAGCGGCAGACGGGUGAGUAACGCGUGGGAACGUACCUUUUGGUUCGGAACAACUGAGGGAAACUUCAGCUAAUACCGGAUAAGCCCUUACGGGGAAAGAUUUAUCGCCGAAAGAUCGGCCCGCGUCUGAUUAGCUAGUUGGUGAGGUAAUGGCUCACCAAGGCGACGAUCAGUAGCUGGUCUGAGAGGAUGAUCAGCCACAUUGGGACUGAGACACGGCCCAAACUCCUACGGGAGGCAGCAGUGGGGAAUAUUGGACAAUGGGCGCAAGCCUGAUCCAGCCAUGCCGCGUGAGUGAUGAAGGCCCUAGGGUUGUAAAGCUCUUUUGUGCGGGAAGAUAAUGACGGUACCGCAAGAAUAAGCCCCGGCUAACUUCGUGC
rnacentral:rRNA from 1 species